UCCCUGGUAGCUCAGAUGGUAAAGAAUCUGCCUGCAAUGCAGGAAACCCAGGUUCAAUCCCUGGGUGGGGAA
rnacentral:tRNA from 1 species